rnacentral:rRNA from 1 species
AUUGAACGCUGGCGGCAUGCUUUACACAUGCAAGUCGAACGGCAGCGGGGGCUUCGGCCUGCCGGCGAGUGGCGAACGGGUGAGUAAUGCAUCGGAACGUGCCCAGUCAUGGGGGAUAACUACGCGAAAGCGUAGCUAAUACCGCAUACGCCCUGAGGGGGAAAGUGGGGGAUCUUCGGACCUCACGUGAUUGGAGCGGCCGAUGUCAGAUUAGCUAGUUGGUGAGGUAAAGGCUCACCAAGGCGACGAUCUGUAGCGGGUCUGAGAGGAUGAUCCGCCACACUGGGACUGAGACACGGCCCAGACUCCUACGGGAGGCAGCAGUGGGGAAUUUUGGACAAUGGGCGCAAGCCUGAUCCAGCCAUGCCGCGUGAGUGAAGAAGGCCU